rnacentral:rRNA from 1 species
CACGUAGGGUGCGAGCGUUGUCCGGAAUUAUUGGGCGUAAAGAGCUCGUAGGCGGUGUGUCGCGUCGGCCGUGAAAACUUGCAGCUUAACUGUGGGCGUGCGGUCGAUACGGGCAUCACUGGAGUCCGGCAGGGGAGACUGGAAUUCCUGGUGUAGCGGUGAAAUGCGCAGAUAUCAGGAGGAACACCGGUGGCGAAGGCGGGUCUCUGGGCCGAUACUGACGCUGAGGAGCGAAAGCGUGGGGAGCGAACAGG